GUGUGUGUGGCGCAAGGUGGUUAGCACGUUCGCCUCACACCUCCAGGGUCCAAGGUUCGAUUCCCACCAUGGACC